rnacentral:rRNA from 1 species
UACGUAGGGUGCAGGCGUUAAUCGGAAUUACUGGGCGUAAAGCGUGCGCAGGCGGUUUGCUAAGACAGGUGUGAAAUCCCCGGGCUUAACCUGGGAACUGCGCUUGUUACUGGCAAGCUUGAGUGUGGCAGAGGGGGGUGGAAUUCCAUGUGUAGCAGUGAAAUGCGUAGAGAUGUGGAGGAACACCGAUGGCGAAGGCAGCCCCCUGGGCUAACACUGACGCUCAUGCACGAAAGCGUGGGGAGCAAACAGG